UUGCACUUGAGUCCUGCCCCAGAUUCUAGGCCCUGCCUACCGCUGGCUGCAGCCUAAUCCCGGCCCCACCCGAUGUCUGCAUCCCACUGCCGUGCCAGGUUCCAACCCGUCCAGAGGCGGAGGCUCAAGGGUGGAGUCUUCCUCUGGCGCUGGCCUGGAGCGCCUGGGCCUGCCUGAGUUGCUCCUCAGAUUUCUCAUCCUGCUGUGACUUGAGGUUGGAAUUUAUCACACUGUGGGACUGCAGUGCCUGCAAUUUCUGAAAAGGCCAGGGUGUAGUUUUAUUUAAGUGAAGAUCGAAUCUUGAUGUCUUGAGCAAUGUCAGGAGGGCACAGCUUAGCCCAACCACAACCCCCCAGCCUGUCCUCCUUAGGUAUCUGCACACCUGCAGAUACACAAGUCCGCACGCCCCUCCACUAGGGUUCUCCUGAGUGCUCAGCCCUUGUUCAGGAGAAGCCAGUUCCCGUGUAAGAACAGAAUUCAAGAAUAUAGUUUCAACUGCAUGGACUUCUGCUAUACUCAAAUCCCAGAACUGGCCUGACAGCUGCCCCAUUUCUUCCUCAGUCUCAAAAAGGCUGAAAAGAA